UAGGGAAUAUUGGACAAUGGGCGAAAGCCUGAUCCAGCCAUGCCGCGUGUGUGAAGCAGGUCUUCGGAUUGUAAAGCACUUUAAGUUGGGAGGAAGGGUACUUACCUAAUACGUGAGUAUUUUGACGUUACCGACAGAAUAAGCACCGGCUAACUCUGUGCCAGCAGCCGCGGUAAUACAGAGGGUGCAAGCGUUAAUCGGAAUUACUGGGCGUAAAGCGCGCGUAGGUGGUUAGUUAAGUUGGAUGUGAAAUCCCCGGGCUCAACCUGGGAACUGCAUUCAAAACUGACUGACUAGAGGAUGGUAGAGGGUGGUGGAAUUUCCUGUGUAGCGGUGAAAUGCGUAGAUAUAGGAAGGAACACCAGUGGCGAAGGCGGCUCACUGGUCCAUUACUGACGCUGAGGUGCGAAAGCGUGGGGAGCAAACA
rnacentral:rRNA from 1 species